rnacentral:rRNA from 2 species
UCUGGUAAUGAUGGCAGAGAGGUCACACCCGUUCCCAUACCGAACACGGAAGUUAAGCUCUCUAGCGCCGAUGGUAGUUGGGACCUUGUCCCUGUGAGAGUAGGAAGUUGCCAGGC